GACGAACGCUGGCGGCGUGCUUAACACAUGCAAGUCGAACGGAAAGGCCCCUUUGGGGGUACUCGAGUGGCGAACGGGUGAGUAACACGUGAGUAACCUGCCCUUGACUUCGGGAUAACUUCAGGAAACUGGGGCUAAUACCGGAUAGGAAUCCUUGCUGCAUGGGGGGGGUUGGAAAGCUUCGGCGGUUUUGGAUGGACUCGCGGCUUAUCAGCUUGUUGGUGGGGUAGUGGCUUACCAAGGCUUUGACGGGUAGCCGGCCUGAGAGGGCGACCGGCCCCAUUGGGACUGAGAUACGGCCCAGACUCCUACGGGAGGCAGCAGUGGGGAAUAUUGCACAAUGGGCGGAAGACUGAUGCAGCAACGCCGCGUGCGGGAGGACGGCCUUCGGGUUGUAAACCGCUUUCAGCAGGGGCGAAGCUUGUGGUGACGGUACCUGCAGAAGAAGCACCGGCUAACUACGUG
rnacentral:rRNA from 1 species